rnacentral:rRNA from 1 species
GGGGGAAUAUUGGACAAUGGGCGCAAGCCUGAUCCAGCCAUGCCGCGUGAGUGAUGAAGGCCCUAGGGGUGUAAAGCUCUUUCACCGGGGAAGAUAAUGACGGUAACCGGAGAAGAAGCCCCGGCUAACUUCGUGCCAGCAGCCGCGGUAAUACGAAGGGGGCUAGCGUUGUUCGGAUGUACUGGGCGUAAAGCGCACGUAGGCGGACUAUUAAGUCAGGGGUGAAAUCCCGGGGCUCAACCCCGGAACUGCCUUUGAUACUGGUAGUCUUGAGUUCGAGAGAGGUGAGUGGAAUUCCGAGUGUAGAGGUGAAAUUCGUAGAUAUUCGGAGGAACACCAGUGGCGAAGGCGGCUCACUGGCUCGAUACUGACGCUGAGGUGCGAAAGCGUGGGGAGCAAACAGG